rnacentral:misc_RNA from 1 species
UUUUAAAUUUUUUUUUGCGCGUCGUGAAAAAGAAAACGCACGUGCGUGACAUAUAUUUCCCCCAUUUUAUUAUUUUCCACGUUUGCGGUGCGUUUUAGCUCGCUGCUCAUUAUUCACGCGUCUAGCGGCGGCAUUGUGGUGCGGCAAGAGCGUUCUGAAAGGGGUCGAAACGAUGGUAAAUAGGCGUUGCUGCGGUUGAGAGAGGGAGGGGUGGAAACCGUGGUAAACUCGUCUCCGUAGUUGAGCGGGAGCGGCCAAAGCAAUGUACAAUCGUCUUUGUAGUGGAGCUGGCGGGGCAAGCAUAAGGGACGAAGACGGGGGUAACAUGUC